AUGUGGAUGAAUAAUUCAAGAGUUGAUUGUUUAGAGUUAAUUCUUUAUUCAUAAUUCAUCUGUAUCAUUAUCAUUCAUCAACAUAUUUUAGAAUAAAAUUUAAAAAAAAGGUUAAAGUUUGACUUAGUUAACUUUUGUUACUAAUUCAUGUACAAUUGGUUCAAAGUUGACUUGCAUUUCUUUUUUGUAUUUUUUGCAUUUUU
rnacentral:lncRNA from 1 species